UAAUUGAAGAGGUUUGGAAAGACCCACCACAGAAGGUAAUAGUCCUGUAUGUUAAACGAGAAGACUUUAGAUAUGAUCCAGAGUACCACGGGACACGUGAAACCCUGUGGGAAGCAGGAGGGACCACCCUCCAAGGCUAAAUACUACCUAGUGACCGAUAGCGUAUAGUACCGUGAGGGAAAGGUGAAAAGAACCCCGGGAGGGGAGUGAAAUAGAACCUGAAACCCUGCACUUACAAGCUGUGGAAGCACAUUUCUUGUGUGACCGCGUACUUUUUGUAGAACGGGCCAACGAGUUACGUUAAGUAGCAAGGUUAAGCACUUAAGGUGUGGAGCCGUAGCGAAAGCGAGUUUUAACUGAGCGUUCAGUUACUUGACGUAGACCCGAAACCGGGCGACCUACCCAUGAGCAGGAUGAAGCGAAAGUAAAAUUUCGUGGAGGUCCGAACCCACGAGCGUUGAAAAGCUCGGGGAUGACUUGUGGGUAGCGGUGAAAUUCCAAUCGAGCCCGGAGAUAGCUGGUUCUCCCCGAAAUAGCUUUAGGGCUAGCCUCAAGGUGAGAGAUACGGAGGUAGAGCACUGAAUGUCCUAGGGGGUAUUGCACCUACCGAAGACUAUCAAACUCCGAAUGCCGUCAUCUUAUACUUGGGAGUCAGACUGUGGGUGAUAAGAUUCAUAGUCGAAAGGGCAACAGCCCAGAUCGUCAGCUAAGGUCCCUAAAUGUAAGUUAAGUGGUAAAGGAUGUGGGAUUGCACAGACAACCAGGAUGUUGGCUUAGAAGCAGCCACUCAUUCAAAGAGUGCGUAAUAGCUCACUGGUCGAGUGAUCCUGCGCCGAAGAUUUCCGGGGCUAAAACUUACUACCGAAGCUACGGCAUCAGUAAUGAUGGGUAGGGGAGCUUCCCAUACGGGUUGAAGCAUGACCGUAAGGACAUGUGGACAGUAUGGGAGUGAGAAUGUUGGCAUGAGUAGCGAGAUGUGGGUGAGAAUCCCACAGGCCGUAAACCCAAGGUUUCCAGGGGAAGGUUCGUCCGCCCUGGGUUAGUCGGGACCUAAGCUGAGGCCGAAAGGCGUAGGUGAUGGACAACAGGUUGAUAUUCCUGUACUACCGAUAACCGUUUGAGAGAAGGGAUGACACAGUAGGAUAAGCUAAGCACACUGUUGGUUAUGUGUGCCCAAGCAUUGAGGCAGUCAAAGUAGGCAAAUCCGCUUUGAUAAUGCUGGGAUGUGAUGGGGAGCGAAAUUUAGUAGCGAAGUAGCUGAUUUCACACUGUCAAGAAAAGUCUCUAUCGAGGUUAAAGGUACCCGUACCGCAAACCGACACAGGUGGGUGAGGAGAGUAUCCUAAGGCCAGCGAGAGAACUGUUGUUAAGGAACUCGGCAAAAUGACCCCGUAACUUAGGGAUAAGGGGUGCCACCAUUAGGUGGCCGCAGAGAAUAGGCCCAAGCGACUGUUUACCAAAAACAUAGGUUUCUGCUAAGUCGCAAGACGAUGUAUAGGAGCUGACGCCUGCCCGGUGCUGGAAGGUUAAGGGGAUCUGUUAGAG
rnacentral:rRNA from 1 species